CUAUGGAGGGGGAUAACCCCGGGAAACUGGGGAUAAUACCCCAUAGGCUAUGAAUGCUGGAAUGCUUCGUAGUUGAAAGGUGAGCCGCCAUAGGAUGGGUCUGCGGCCGAUUAGGUAGUUGUUGGGGUAACGGCCCAACAAGCCUGUAAUCGGUACGGGUUGUGGGAGCAAGAGCCCGGAGAUGGAUUCUGAGACACGAAUCCAGGCCCUACGGGGCGCAGCAGGCGCGAAAACUUUACAAUGCGGGAAACCGUGAUAAGGGAACUCCGAGUGCCCGUUAAAUCGGGCUGUCCAUCAGUUUAAAAAACUGGUGAAGAAAGGGCCGGGCAAGACCGGUGCCAGCCGCCGCGGUAAUACCGGCGGCUCGAGUGGUGGCCACUAUUACUGGGCUUAAAGCGUUCGUAGCUGGUUUGUUAAGUCUCUGGGGAAAUCUUCCGGCUUAACCGGAAGGCGUCUCAGGGAUACUGGCAGACUAGGGACCGGAAGAGGUGAGGGGUACUCCAGGGGUAGGAGUGAAAUCCUGUAAUCCUUGGGGGACCACCUGUGGCGAAGGCGCCUCACCAGGACGGCUCCGACAGUGAGGGACGAAAGCUGGGGGAGCAAACCGGAUUAGAUACCCGGGUAGUCCCAGCCGUAAACGAUGUGCGUUAGGUGUAUCGGUGACCACGAGUCACCGAGGUGCCGAAGAGAAAUCGUGAAACGUACCGCCUGGGAAGUACGGUCGCAAGGCUGAAACUUAAAGGAAUUGGCGGGGGAGCACCACAACAGGUGGAGCCUGCGGUUUAAUCGGACUCAACGCCGGAAAACUCACCAGAUAAGACAGCUGAAUGAUAGUCGGGCUGAAGACUCUACUUGACUAGCUGAGAGGAGGUGCAUGG
rnacentral:rRNA from 1 species